CAUCACUGCCGUGGCUAAUCACCCAGAGCUGUAUGAUGCUAGCUGCUACUUCUACCGAGACAGGAAUAAAAAGGACCUAGCUUGGAGGCACAUAAGUGAGGAGAUCGGGCAACCUGAGGACAUCAUCUGCAGGAGAAAGUGGAAGAGCCUCAGGGACACAUAUAAUAAGGAGAAGAGGAGUGGGUCUGCAGCAGGAUCGGGGAAGAGAUGGAAGUUCUUCGCGGUCAUGGGGUUUCUGGACCCCUUCCUCACCCCGCGGGAGACUAGCGGCAAUAUGGUGCGGACCGUGGAGAACUCCCCCCCCCCCCGAGGACCAGGGACAGCCCGGAGAGGCAGCAGGGGAGUGUCAGUCAGAAGAGCCAUCUGUAGCAGAGCCAUCCCCUGUUGCUUCUCCUGGCUCCCCAGUCCCUGGUCCCUCCACUCCUGCUGCUGCAUCCACAGGCCCACAGAGGAGGACAGCUCAAAGGCGGUCGAGGGACGGGUCCCAGGACGGUCCAUCGGCGGUGGAGCUGGCCAUCCUGGAGUCCCUGAAGAGGCCACGCCCGUCUCCAAUGGAGCAUGUCCUCCUCGGCCUUGUUCCUGCUCUGGAGAGCAUGCCGCCUCAGACACGAGAAUUCGUGAAAUUUCAAAUGUAUAAAUUAGUUUUUGAAAACAGCACAGCUGUGUUAAAUUUGGAAACAUUGGACUCUAAUGAUCAGUAGUUUUCUGAUGAGGCAGCAGGCUCUCCAGGGCAGAAACAAUGUUGUUAUAUU
ensembl:lncRNA